rnacentral:rRNA from 1 species
GGAAACGCUGGCGGCGUGGAUUAGGCAUGCAAGUCGAACGGUAGGAUACCUUCGGGUAUCCGAGAGUGGCGAACGGGUGAGUAACACGUAGGUGAUCUACCCUCAAGAUUGGGACAACCCAGGGAAACUUGGGCUAAUACCGGAUGAAAGCAGCAGUGAUGUUGUUUGAAAGGUGGCGUAAGCUGCCGUUUGGGGAUGAGCCUGCGCUCUAUUAGUUAGUUGGUGAGGUAACGGCUUACCAAGGCGAUGAUAGAUAGGCGGCCUUAACGGGUGGUCGCCCACACUGGGAUUGAGAUACGGCCCAGACUCCUACGGGAGGCAGCAGUCGAGAAUAGUCUACAAUGGUCGGAAGACUGAUAGUGCGACGCCGCGUGAACGAUGAAUCCCUUCGGGGUGUAAAGUUCUUUUAUAUGUGAGCAGUGCUUCUUAUAUUAACAGUAUGGGGAGAGAGAUAUUAGCAUAUGAAUAAGCAACGGCUAACUCCGUG